CUGUGUUCUGGCCGUUAUUCUCCAAUCUCAUCCUUCCAUUCACAACCCCAGUGCUGGUUAUAACCGUGUGACAUCACGCAGGGAAGGGGGAAGGCCACGCAGCCUGUGACUCGGAAUGUCGCCCUGCUGCAGCUCACACCUGUUUGCGGUCAGGGCAGUCCGUAUGCAGACGGAGGGCGGCCGAGCGAAAUGAGCCCAUAUGCCAUAAAUGCAACAGCAAUUCAUUAUACCAAGUCAGAGAAUGAAUUGGCAUGUCUGGUCUUAAGGAUGGAAAUGUCUACAAAAUGGACAAGGCCAAUUGUCCUGAGUACAAGCGAACACUCUGGAAUAAUCGCACGGAGCUGUCUCCUGCAUCCCUCAUUCAGGGUAGAGCUGUCUUCCGUAUGUUUGGAAGUGGUCAUAAAAUUUACCUUUCGGUUAAGAAUUAUGGACAAAUUUGCCCUUGAUAUAAAGAUUUUUCACAGCAUCUGUUCUCUUGAAUCUACCAGGGCAAGGGUCCUAAAGGAGAAAAGGGCCGAGUGGGGGAGCAGAGGUGAAGCCUGUGCCCCCCGCCCCAGCACACUCACCUGCACCUGUGCCUGCCUGGCGGCCGACCGUGGCUCAUCGCAAAGGGAGAGGUAGGGGUGCUCAGGAGGUGGCCUGGGAGUUGGUAUUUUCUCAUUGGAACCGGGGUUACUUGUGCCGGUCAACAGAGGGCCAAGCGCGGAUCAAAGGACACAACCCUUCCCUCCAGCAGAUCGAACUGCGUCCGCCCCCAAACCAACCUGGACAGCCCCCAUAGGGGACGGCGGGGGAGGCCACAAGAUGCUGAAAUAACUAGAUUACUUCCUGCCACUGCUCUUGUUUGGUUUGGGUUUGGUUUGGUUUUUCUUUGGCUCUACUUAGAAGUAAAAGCAUACACUUCCUCAGAGAUGCCAACAAUGCCUCUUCCUUCGUAAUCUCCUGACAGAAGUUGUUCCAAAUCGGGUAGCCGAUUUGGCGGUGUUGAGUCUUUCCUACUCAUGAUGAUCAGUUAAUGGUUUUAAAAUUCUACCUUCAGAAGGAGGAAAAGAAGUCAAAGCACCCGGAGUGGAGUGGAGGAGUGGAGCUCGGUACUCAUGAACCCUGUGCUCCGCGUCAGGGCCGCGUCCUCUGUGUGUGUUCAGUGUAGGCAUCUGGUCAACUCGAUAACCGCUCGGUUGGUUGGCCAGAUGCACAGUCGGGGCACGAGAACUGUUCUAAGACUUAAAGACAAGGGACCCUUGUUUCACCAGGAGAGAGUU
rnacentral:lncRNA from 12 species